AUUAUCAGUUGCAUGAUUUUGAUAUGUGUAUCGCAAAAAAUGAAGAAGCCCUAAGUAUCGAGCCACAUUUUGCUGAGUGCUAUGGAAAUAUGGCGAAUGCUUGGAAGGAAAAAGGCAAUAUUGAUGUUGCAAUACGCUAUUAUUUAAUUGCAAUUGAGCUCCGUCCUAAUUUUGCGGAUGCAUGGUCAAAUUUAGCCAGUGCAUACAUGAGGAAAGGAAGGCUGAAUGAGGCAGUUCAAUGUUGCCGUCAGGCUCUAGCAUUAAAUCCACGUUUGGUGGAUGCUCACAGCAAUCUCGGCAAUCUCAUGAAAGCACAAGGUUUAGUCCAAGAGGCGUACAAUUGUUAUGUUGAAGCACUGCGUAUACAGCCUGCAUUUGCCAUAGCAUGGUCCAACCUUGCUGGCCUUUUCAUGGAGGCAGGCGAUCUUAACAGGGCUUUGCAGUACUACAAGGAAGUGAUCAAGCUGAAACCGAACUUCUCAGAUGCAUAUCUGAACCUAGGAAAUGUAUACAAGGCUUUGGGAAUGCCCCAGGAGGCCAUAGUGUGUUAUCAGCGUGCGCUCCAAGUACGACCAGACUAUGCCAUGGCUUUUGGCAACUUAGCUAGUGUGUACUAUGAACAAGGAAAUAUGGAAAUGGCAAUAUUUAACUACAGGAGAGCUAUUACAUGUGAUACUGAAUUCUUUGAGGCAUAUAACAAUCUGGGUAAU
rnacentral:misc_RNA from 1 species